rnacentral:rRNA from 1 species
UACGGAGGAGGCAAGCGUUAUCCGGAAUUAUUGGGCGUAAAGCGUCCGCAGGUGGCGAUUCAAGUCUGCGGUCAAAGACUGGGGCUUAACCCUGGAAAGGCCGUGGAAACUGAAUAGCUAGAGUGCAGUAGGGGUAGAGGGAAUUCCCGGUGUAGCGGUGAAAUGCGUAGAGAUCCGGAGGAACCCCAGAGGCGAAGGCGGCGCCCUGGCUCGCACCUGACGCUCAGACACGACAGCAUGGGGAGCGAACGGG